AGCGCCAAGCCUCCUUCCUAUUUUUUCAUUUGGCCUUCAACAGGUGCCACGACCAAAUCCAAAUCCCCCAAACCUAAAUCCUCUCACGCUCUCCCUCCGCCGCCGCCCACUAGCUAGCAGCCCGCACGCCGUCGACCACCCGCCGUCUCCAGCACGCCGUCACCUGUCUCCUUCAUCCUCCUGCACCCCCACUACUUAGGCCCCGAACACUUCUAACCUUAGCUUGUGCGCUGGAGUUCGGGGAGAGGCCAAGGCGCAGUGGUGGACGCCGCCAUCCCUCUCAGAUCCGGGGCUUAGAGAGGGAGGGAGGGAGGGAGAGGGAGGGAGAGGUGGGUCACCUACGAGAUAGAGCACUCGCACCCUCGCUCGUCAGUUAUCACCCAGGGGCCGCCACCACCGCCGCCACGCAAUGGGCUUCCUCCGAUCUACGCUCGCCGGUUCGUUUGAAGAUGGAUCUGGCCGUUGACUGCUGGUGCUUCCCCUCCCCGGGUGAUCAGUCAUGACUUGGGAUAGUACUUCUAUCCAGCAAGCAGCGUUUUGGAUGUGAGCUCCAGCUCAAGCAGAGCAAUAAAAAACAGGGGCUCUAUCUGCUAAUGGGGUAGCCGGCAAUGCAGUCUAAGAGCUACAUCUCGUGUGAUUUCUGGAUAUGAGAACUUGAGAAGAACAAGCUUGAUGCUAUUAUUGAAAAAAAUAAUCUAUGCUACAGGAUUCUUCUUUGCACCCCGUACACUUAGACGGAGUGGGAGGCUACCGCAGCGGCGCUAGGCUUGGAGCCCAAGCCAUCCGACGCCGCCAACAGGUGCUGACAGUCUGACGCCUUCAGAAUUGGCUCUCAAAACUUUCAACCAAGAUUAGAGCUAGCAUACAGUUUGCAGUUUAUAGUCAUACUCAUACUCAAUGAGUCCCUACCUUGGCUUCUGGGCAAGAUAUUCUUUAAUUUUAGUUGAUUAGGAACCACUAUUGUUCAGGAAUUUUGAGUGGCGCACAUCCUGGUCUGGCGAGCCGAUGAUCGGACAUCAUUUGUCAAGGAAGCAAAAAGGACUACUCGCAAGGAACCAUGAAGCCAACGAUCCACGUCAAGUAGAUGUUUUAGUUUUCAUUUUGUACAGCUGAUGUCUCAUACUUGCAUCUUUUGGUUGUCCUUUUGUAAACCUGAUGUAUGGUUUCUCGGUGGUUUUGUUUAGAACAGAUUGAAGUAUAUGUAUGUGCCAAUUAGUUAAUGGAAUAAAAAAUGUUUGGUGCUCCCGAUUUGAGCCUGA